AGAAGGAAAAUCGCUUAUGUAGAAAAGCGAGAGCAUUAAUAAAUUUUUCGUCUUCGGCAUCAUCAUCGCGUCUUCGGCAUCAUCAUUGCGUCUCACUGCAUUUUGCUAUGCGUUUGUGAUGAUCUGCGUUUUGCUAUGCGUUUGGGAUGUUAUGCGUUUGAUGCGUGAACUGGAUAAUGAGUGAAGCUGAUCAUUUAUAGAACUGGAAAUUCUGUUACGAAAUUCAAAUGAAACUCGCCUCAAAUUUAACAGUUAGUUACAAAUGAAUUGUUUGCUUGACAUGGUUUGAAGCUUGGAACUGGCUUGGAGAUUGUUUUUGGGAAUGGCUUGUAGAUGUUGGGAAUUGUGCUUGAAGAUUUGGGAUGGAUGGAACGUGGAGUUUUUUUUUUGUAAUUUUGUGUAAUGUACAUAUAAACUAUGGAAUUGUUGUAAUUGAAACAAUAUGAAUGAGAUUUGCAAAUUGAUGUUGGAAAUA